AUGGCUCUGCAACAUGGUACAGUACCACUCUUUGGCGCUUCGCAUCUGCUGAUACAUUUGCAGGAAAGCUGUUGUUUAUCUGGAACCGGCUCCUCUACCGUGCCCUAUGAUAUCAUCACUGUUGCCAGGAGCCAGCUCUUGGACUCUUCUGAGGUAGGCACUUCAUCCAGAUUCUUUUUCUUUGCUGCAAGGCACAUUCUACAUCAAAAAUUUCAUUAUAUAAGACUACAGGCCAAGUUCAGGUACUCCCAUGACCCUGAUUGUCAGAAUCAGCAGCACAAAAGGGGAAUAAAGAAAGAAUGGAAAGCAAAGGAGGAAAAAGCCAUGCAGUGA
rnacentral:rRNA from 1 species